rnacentral:tRNA from 1 species
UUCCUGGUGGCUCAGAUGGUAAAGCAUCUGCCUACAAUGCAGGAGACCCAGGUUCGAUCCCUUGGUUGGGAG